GACAGAGGGUGCAAACGUUGCUCGGAAUCACUGGGCGUAAAGGGCGUGUAGGCGGGAAGGAAAGUCAGAUGUGAAAUCCCUGGGCUCAACCCAGGAACUGCAUUUGAAACUCCCUUUCUUGAGUGUCGGAGAGGAAAGCGGAAUUCCUGGUGUAGAGGUGAAAUUCGUAGAUAUCAGGAGGAAUACCGAUGGUGAAGGCAGCCCCCUGGGUCGAUACUGACGCUCAUGCACGAAAGCGUGGGGAGCAAACAGG
rnacentral:rRNA from 1 species